ensembl:snRNA U6 U6 spliceosomal RNA
GUUUGCACAGCUGUACAUAUACUAAAAUUGGAUCGAUACAGAGAAGAUUAGCAUGGCCCCUGCGAAAGGAUGACACUCAAAUCCGUGAAGCGUUCCAUAUUUUG